rnacentral:rRNA from 1 species
AGUGAACGCUGGCGGCAGGCCUAACACAUGCAAGUCGAGCGGCAGCGCGUCCGACCACCCUCGGGUGGUCGGAUGGCGGCGAGCGGCGGACGGGUGAGGAAUGCAUCGGAAUCUGCCUCGUUGUGGGGGAUAACGUAGGGAAACUUACGCUAAUACCGCAUACGACCUACGGGUGAAAGUGGGGGACCGUUCGGGCCGUCACGCGAUGAGAUGAGCCGAUGCCGGAUUAGCUAGUUGGCGGGGUAAAGGCCCACCAAGGCGACGAUCCGUAGCUGGUCUGAGAUGAUGAUCAGCCACACUGGAACUGAGACACGGUCCAGACUCCUACGGGAGGCAGCAGUGGGGAAGUAUUGGACAAUGGGGGCGAACCCUGAUCCAGCCAUGCCGCGUGUGUGAAGAAGGCC